rnacentral:lncRNA from 1 species
UGAAGAAACAGACUUAAAGAAGGGAAGUGACUUGGCAAAGCCACAUGGAUUAAAAGGGUUGAAGCCAAGAACAAAAGCUUGGAAGUCAGAGGAGUCUGCUCCCUCCACUGUAUUGGGUUCUCUAUCUACAAGCAGAGGAGCCUGAAGAAGGAAUGAGUUGAUUGGAAAGUAAUAUGUUCCCUGUUAUUGAAGAUAUAGAACCUUGACAUGUUUCUCAGGCUGGUCUGAAACUCCUGGGGCUCAAGCGAUCCACCUGCCUCCACCUCUCAAAGUGCUGAGAUUACAGGGCCUAUGGUUCAUCCUGCAAUAUCAGAGAAUACACAACUGUUGGAAGCUCAUUUGUGCAGAAGCACUAGUUAGACCAAGUCCCAGGAUGGUGGGGACUUGAACUGCCUCAUGCACAUUGUACCCAAGAGCCUGGCCCAUGAAGGUGAAUCAGUGGAUACUUGAAUAAAAAGAAGAAUAUGCGCUGAAGUUUUCUUUGAGGACAUUUUUUUUUCUUUCCAUAGUUUUGAGCAUCUCUGAUGUUUUGAGAUUUCUGCCAGUCUUUGAGGAUGUAAUGCUCAAUUAGACUUGUUCUCUGUCCUCAAAGAGCUUAUAUAAUAGUUAGUGAGCUAAUUCUCCUGUUUUGAGAGACAGGAGAAAAUGUUAUGUUAUAAUGAGUCAUUCAGACUCUAUCUACUAGGCCUGACUUUGUUACUUUUUAAAAAGCAUUCUUCCACUCCUGCUUGGAUAUCUCUGUAUACAAGACUCAGAGACACGUAUGACGCCCCUUAGGAGGGGUUCUGACGUGCAAAUUUCUGAGACCCAGAAGCACCUACCUUCCAUUUUCCAAUGCCCCAAAUUCUAUGAAAACCACGAGCACAUGCAUUCGUUCCCAUGUUCUCGGGUGCCUCGCCUAUCAGUCAAGGGUCACAAGAUCUGCAGGGCAGUUGCUUUCAAAAUAAAAUGGAUGUGAAAACAGCUGAAGCCCAGCGAGCACUUGAUAACUGCUUCUUUUGAAGGCAAAAUAAGAUUAUUCUAUGAGGUAACAGGCUCCUUCUGGGCUUAAGUAGGCAUAGGGUUUACAGUGUAGAUUCUUGUGCUAUGGUUUUCCCAUAAAAGAGGGAAACCUUGAAAUCACAGCACUUUUGUGGUAGGGAGGAUUUCAAGCAGUGCUUAAUAAGGUGUACAUGACCAUAGCAGAGUGUCCCCCCCCAUCUCAGGGAAAAGGCCCCUGAAAUUAAUCAUGAGAAUCCUCUCCUGUCCCCAGGGACCUAGAUGAACCCUGACUAAUGAAUAUUUAAAUCUCACUCUUUGUCUGCUCUCACACUCAAACCCUGAUUCAUGACUGUAUGCUUUCCAUUUGGCAUGGAACAGAGAUCACAAGUCCACAGGGUAUAGCUCCAUGCCACCUGGGGCUCCUUUAGACAUUAGUAUUAU